GCUCAGGCACGAUCUGUAGCUGGUCUGAGAGGAGAUCAGCCACACUGGGACUGAGACACGGCCCAGACUCCUAUGGGAGGCAGCAGUAGGGAAUAUUGGACAAUGGGCGAAAGCCUGAUCCAGCAAUGCCGCGUGUGUGAAGAAGGCCUGCGGGUUGUAAAGCACUUUCAGUUGGGAAGAAAAGUUUUAGGCCAAUACCCUAGAAUCUUGACGUUACCAAUAGAAGAAGCACCGGCUAACUCUGUGCCAGCAGCCGCGGUAAGACAGAGGGUGCGAGCGUUAAUCGGAAUUACUGGGCGUAAAGCGUGCGUAGGUGGCCGAGUCAGUCUGAUGUGAAAGCCCAAGGCUUAACCUUGGAAUUGCAUUCGAUACUGCUCAGCUAGAGUAUGGUAGAGGGAAGCGGAAUUCCUAGUGUAGCGGUGAAAUGCGUAGAUAUUAGGAAGAACAUCAGUGGCGAAGGCGGCUUUCUGGACUAAUACUGACACUGAGGCACGAAAGCGUGGGGAGCAAACAGGAUUAGAUACUACAAAGUGUCCCCCAGAUUGGUGACAAUCUGGUGUGCAUCUAGCUAUAUCGGUGAAACCCCUCAGGGGUAAUACCGAGGGAAGCUAUAUUUAUAAAUAGCCCCGUAGAGACUAUGUAGGUAAGGAGAUAGAAGAUGAUAAAUUCAUCUUUGUCGAGUCGAUGCAAAGAGAUAAUUUUAGGUUCUGUUUUGGGAGAUGGAUCAUUAAAAAUACAUAAAGGGGUAUAGAAUGCUCGCUUUUCGUUUCGACACUCGGUAAAAUCGAGUGAAUAUUUUUACUGGAAAGUAAAAGAAUUAGAAGAGUUAUCAAGCGAUAACUGUGUGUGGAAACAAUUGAAUAGUGGCUCUUAUGCUGAAGAGAUGCUUCGAUAUCAAAGUCGAGCACUUGAAGAAUUGACCCAAAUUUAUGAAUUGGUUCAUCGUCAUCAUAAAUUAAAAAUACGAAGAAAAUGGUUGAAUCAACUUAGUCCACUUUCAUUAUGUGUUAGGUGGUUAGAUGAUGGUUCAUUGGUUGCGAAUUGCCGUCAAGGGGUAAUAUGUACAGACAGUUUUUCUUAUGAAGAGCUUUUGCUUAUAGUAAGAUAUUUUAGGAAAGUUUGGGAUUUAUCACCUAGUAUUGGGAAAGUAGCCAAAAGUGGACCCCGCUCUGAACAAUACCGACUAUGGUUUCGUUCCAGAGAAGAAUUAAAGAAAUUUCUAAAAAUUAUUUUGCCUUAUGUGCCAGUGGCUUCUAUGCUAUAUAAGGUGCUUAUUCUUUACAAAGACCCCGAACUGCAACAACGCUGGAUCUCUGAAGUAUGUGAAUUAUCGAAGUUUAAGCGAGAGGAGAUUAUUUCUUGUUUAAAUGAGCGUAAAAAAGUAAUUGCACAUUUUAGAGAAUGAUAUAGUCCGAGACUCAUGGCAACAUGAGGUAACUUGACCCUGGUAGUCCACGCCCUAAACGAUGAGAACUAGAUGUUGGGGGAAAUUAAUCCCUUAGUAUCGCAGCUAACGCGAUAAGUUCUCCGCCUGGGGAGUACGGCCGCAAGGUUAAAACUCAAAUGAAUUGACGGGGACCCGCACAAGCGGUGGAGCAUGUGGUUUAAUUCGAUGCAACGCGAAGAACCUUACCUGGCCUUGACAUCCUUGGAAUCUCGCAGAGAUGUGGGAGUGCCUUCGGGAACCAAGAGACAGGUGCUGCAUGGCUGUCGUCAGCUCGUGUCGUAAAUAACUUGCGACCUACAGGAGUGAUUCUGUAGAAAAAUCCAGCUUAUAACGGUGAAACCCUAACAGAUAUGCUGAGGGCAAUACCGUGGGAAGUUCAGGAAAUGUCCAUAACUUUGAAACAAGAACAGCUAGUGAUUGGAACUUUGCUAGGAGAUGGUUAUCUUUAUUCGAAUGGGCGUUUACAGAUUGAACAUCAAGAAAAAUUUAAGUCUUAUGUUUUAUGGAAACAUAAAAUGCUUCAAUCUAUCGUUUCUGGCAUUCCUAAAAGGUGUGUUCGAUUCGACAAAAGAACGAAUAAAGAAUAUGUUUCGUGGCGGUUUUACACUAAAACGGUUUUUCAGAAUUAUCGCAAUUGUUUUUAUCCGAAUGGAAAAAAAGUUGUGCCUGAAAAUGUGUUUCAGUUGCUUGUUUCUCCACUUGCAUUAGCAGUGUGGUUUAUGGAUGAUGGUGGUAGAGGGGCAAAAACUCCAAAAGGGUUAGUCAUCAGUGCAGCAGGAUUUUCUUCAGCAGAACAUAUUUUGUUGAAGGAAUGUUUGAAGAGGAAUUUUCGAUUAAGUGUAAAUAUACACAAAAAUGGGCAAUUCUAUAUUCCUGCAUUAUCUUAUAAAUGCUUUUAUGAGUUAGUCACUCCUUAUAUUAUACCGUCAAUGCGGUACAAACUUCCUGUAACCCCGUAACGACUGAGGCGUAAGCCUAGAUAACAAUUGGUAUCCAUCUGGAUAAAUUUAUGAUUGUUAUAAUACGCUGGCUCUUACUUAACUACCUAGUAAGAUGAAGAUAUAGUCUAAACCCCUAAGAAAUUUGGGGAGUUAUUUGGAGGAUGUUGGGUUUAAGUCCCGCAACGAGCGCAACCCUUGUCCCUAGUUGCCAGCGAUUCGGUCGGGAACUCUAGAGAGACUGCCGGUGACAAACCGGAGGAAGGUGGGGAUGACGUCAAGUCAUCAUGGCCCUUACGGCCAGGGCUACACACGUGCUACAAUGGGUAGUACAGAGGGUCGCAAACCCGCGAGGGGGAGCUAAUCUCACAAAACUACUCGCAGUCCGGAUUGGAGUCUGCAACUCGACUCCAUGAAGUCGGAAUCGCUAGUAAUCGCGAAUCAGAAUGUCGCGGUGAAUACGUUCCCGGGUCUUGUACACACCGCCCGUCACACCAUGGGAGUGGGUUGUACCAGAAGUAGGUAGUCUAACCUUCGGGAGGACGCUUACCACGGUAUGAUUCAUGACUGGGGUGAAGUUUAACGGCUUCCUUCACGAGUAAUCGUGUUGUAAAAUCCAACUAUAUCGGUGAACCCCUAACAGUAUAUACAAGCUGUGGGCAACGCCUAGGGAAGUUGGGCUAGUCAGUAAAACUGAUGAUAAGCUUACUAAAUCAUAUUAUAGGUGCAGCUUGAGGUGGUUAGCCUUCCACAUAAAAAAAAUGGAUUCUCAAGCACCAAGUAACCCUAAGCUCCGGCGAGGGGAUAAAGGGUUGAUACUCCCUAGUUCACAGCUUGAAAACGGUUGCAAUUUUGUAACAUGUUGAUAGUUGUCAAUGGAAUUGUUAUCUGACACGUAAGUUGCCUUAACCCCGUAGAGGCCAUACGUUGGCUCCUUGGAAACGAGGAUGAAGACAUGGUCCGACACCCUUAGUUAAUAAGGGAUAAAACAGUAAGCGUAACAAGGUAGCCGUAGGGGAACCUGCGGCUGGAUCACCUCCUUUAAAGA
rnacentral:rRNA from 1 species